UACGUAGGGUGCGAGCGUUGUCCGGAAUUAUUGGGCGUAAAGAGCUCGUAGGCGGUUUGUCGCGUCGACUGUGAAAACCCGAGGCUUAACCUCGGGCCUGCAGUCGAUACGGGCAGACUAGAGUUCGGUAGGGGAGACUGGAAUUCCUGGUGUAGCGGUGAAAUGCGUAGAUAUCUGGAGGAACACCGGUGGCGAAGGCGGCAUCCUGGACCAAUAUUGACGCUGAGGAGCGAAAGCCAGGGGAGCAAACGGG
rnacentral:rRNA from 1 species